AAAAAUAUCGAUUGAUUUCUCAUGAAGACUUCUACACAAAUAACGAUGACGUAGCCCUCUUCAGCGGCGGCCAUAGAAAACCUCGUGGGUCUUCAUUUUUGUUGAUCAAAACUCAGGAUUAAAAAUGAAUCCUGAAAAAUUGAAGCAGCUGCAACAGCAAGUACGCAUCGGUGGAAAGGGUACUGCAAGGAGGAAGAAGAAGGUGGUGCAUCGUACAGCAACAACAGAUGAUAAGAAAUUACAAAGCUCACUGAAGAAACUUUCUGUCAGUAACAUCCCAGGAAUUGAGGAGGUGAACAUGAUCAAGGAUGAUGGUAUGGUCAUCCAUUUUAAUAAUCCCAAAGUGCAAGCGUCUCUUGCUGCAAACACAUUUGCAAUCACAGGACAGGCCGAGAACAAACAAAUCGCAGAGAUGUUGCCUGGUAUUCUUAAUCAACUGGGAGCUGAAAGCUUAAGUAGUCUUAAAAAGCUAGCAUCCUCUGUCACAGGCAGCAUGUCAGGUAGGUGUCCAAACUACUUAAAAAGCUAGCAUCCUCUGUCACAGGCAGCAUGUCAGGUGGCUCAGGAGACAAACCUGCCACAGAAGACAUUGACGAUGACGACGAUGGAGUUCCAGACCUGGUUGGGAACUUUGACGAGACAUCCAAAGGAGAAUAAUCUAAGAUUCAACAUUAAAAGCAUGUUAAGACACCACUGGUUUUGCUUGUACUAUGAAAGCUGUUGGAGUUGUGUGAAUAUCAAAAACUACCCUGACCCAAUUUUAGCGCUUUAUCAACAAAUUGACAAUAAGAAUGAAGACGCGGUCGCAAUAGGAAAAAUCAUCAUGAAAAAUGAUGCUUUCAUUGCCUGUCGAAAGAAGAUUGGCAAAAAAUGUUAUUGUACAAUAUUUACAGUAAUAGAGGAAAUCAUUUUAUGGACGCCUUUCAUAAUAAAUCCACUCACUACAGUACUUGGACACCGGACGACAAACAGCUGUUUUUACAAAGAUAUCUUGACCUAUGUCCAAGUACAAAUAAAAACUUUUUCUCACA